rnacentral:rRNA from 1 species
UACGGGGGGGGCAAGCGUUGUUCGGAAUUACUGGGCGUAAAGGGCUCGUAGGCGGCCAACUAAGUCGGAUGUGAAAUCCCCAGGCUUAACCUGGGAAUUGCAUCUGAUACUGGAUGGCUUGGAUCCGGGAGAGGGAUGCGGAAUUCCAGGUGUAGCGGUGAAAUGCGUAGAUAUCUGGAGGAACACCGGUGGCGAAGGCGGCAUCCUGGACCGGCAUUGACGCUGAGGCGCGAAAGCCAGGGGAGCAAAGCGGG